UACGUAGGGUGCAAGCGUUAAUCGGGAAUUACUGGGCGUAAAGCGUGCGCAGGCGGUGAUGUAAGACAGAUGUGAAAUCCCCGGGCUCAACCUGGGAACUGCAUUUGUGACUGCAUCGCUGGAGUGCGGCAGAGGGGGAUGGAAUUCCGCGUGUAGCAGUGAAAUGCGUAGAUAUGCGGAGGAACACCGAUGGCGAAGGCAAUCCCCUGGGCCUGCACUGACGCUCAUGCACGAAAGCGUGGGGAGCAAACAGG
rnacentral:rRNA from 1 species